rnacentral:siRNA from 1 species
UGUUGUUGUUUCAAAUGAUGC